ensembl:lncRNA
GCCGCUGCAGGCCCCACCCCCCUGGCUCUCCGUCCCCAGCCAGACGGGUGGUGACGAAAUCCCCGGAGCACUGACUGGGAGUCACAACCCGGGAAGGACUUCGGGCUGGGCCAAGCGGGGACUGUGUGACUGCAGCUGGGUCACUUCACCCCCCGCGUCUCCAUUCUCUCAGCAGGAAAAUGAGGGUGCUAACACCCUCCCCCUUCCCAGGGAGGUUGGACCACUGGAACAGAGAUGCGGAAGUGGAAAGCCAUCGCAGACAUAGAGCAUCCUCGUUCUCUUUUUCUGGAGUGUUCAAGUGAAAACCUCAAGCCAACUGGUUUUUCUGCUUGCCAGCCAGCCAGGCCCUAACCAGCCACGUGAUACAGCUGGGGCCCAGAACUCAGAAACAUCUCAAGACUGCUUCUGCCCCUAGACCCAGGGCUCCAGCCGGAGGCAGAUGGUCAAGGGCUGAGGGCCAGGUUCAGGUUACCCAGUUAGACAGCAGGCUGGGGUGGGGUGGGGACUCACUUGAAACCACCUUUGAAAUGUUACGCUUCUGAAUCACUAACAUGACGUCAACCCCCUUCCCAUUUACCCACCAAU